rnacentral:rRNA from 1 species
GACGAACGCUGGCGGCGUGCCUAAUACAUGCAAGUAGAACGCUGAAGAGAGGAGCUUGCUCUUCUUGGAUGAGUUGCGAACGGGUGAGUAACGCGUAGGUAACCUGCCUGGUAGCGGGGGAUAACUAUUGGAAACGAUAGCUAAUACCGCAUGAUAUUAAUUGUCGCAUGAUAAUUAAUUGAAAGAUGCAAUUGCAUCACUACCAGAUGGACCUGCGUUGUAUUAGCUAGUUGGUGAGGUAACGGCUCACCAAGGCGACGAUACAUAGCCGACCUGAGAGGGUGAUCGGCCACACUGGGACUGAGACACGGCCCAGACUCCUACGGGAGGCAGCAGUAGGGAAUCUUCGGCAAUGGGGGGAACCCUGACCGAGCAACGCCGCGUGAGUGAAGAAGGUUUUCGGAUCGUAAAGCUCUGUUGUAAGAGAAGAACGGGUGUGAGAGUGGAAAGUUCACACUGUGAC